rnacentral:rRNA from 1 species
AUACCGGAGGUCAAUUUCAGUUCUACGGAGGAUUGGUGGCUGAAGGCGAGGGAGGAGAUCCCCAAACCAAUGAAGAAGAACUUCGAUACUAUUGUCAUCCUUCUCCAUUGGAGGAUUUGGAAGGAAAGGAACGCCAGGAUUUUUGAUAAUGUCGCUAGCUCGGCUGACAGGGUUCGGGACCUGGUAAUACAGGAUAUCGACACAUGGAGGGCAGCAGGAUGCAUUUGUGACCUGAUGACGUGA